AACGAACGCUGGCGGCAUGCCUAACACAUGCAAGUCGAACGAGAUCCUUCGGGGUCUAGUGGCGGACGGGUGAGUAACGCGUGGGGACCUGCCCAGGGGUACGGAAUAACUACGGGAAACUGUAGCUAAUACCGUAUGAUGCCGAAAGGCCAAAGAUUUAUCGCCCUUGGAUGGACCCGCGUUGGAUUAGCUAGUUGGUGAGGUAAUGGCUCACCAAGGCGACGAUCCAUAGCUGGUUUGAGAAGAUGAUCAGCCACACUGGGACUGAGACACGGCCCAGACUCCUACGGGAGGCAGCAGUGGGGAAUAUUGGACGAAUAGGCGAAGA
rnacentral:rRNA from 1 species